rnacentral:lncRNA from 1 species
GUGAUCUUUACUCCUGGUGUCACACCCCUGAGGGCCUCCCUCCUACACUGAAUUAGGGCUGCCACUGUCCCUCAUACUUGCCUGUGACCCUGCCUUUGGAGGACACGUUUCUGCAGCUCAGCCUUGGCACCCCUUUGCACAAGCUGGUGGCAUUGGCCCCUCUGCUAUUAAGCCACAGUUGUUCAUCUGUUCAACAAAGUCUACCCGCUGUGCCGUCUGUGGCUCUCCAAGGGCUGGGGUGUUGAAGAAAACCUGCUGGCUGUGAAACAGAAGGGGAGUUGUUUUAUUUCAUGCCGGUACUUUUCAGGGGUCACAGACUGCCCCAGAAAGAAAAAACCAAAUUUGACCCUCGGCAUUCCCUGUGAGGAGAGUUGGGUGUUUGCCCAGGAAGUUCAGAGCAGCAGCCAAGAUUCACUCACACCUGGGAUAUACAACCUC